GACGUAGGGCGCGAGCGUUGUCCGGAUUUAUUGGGCGUAAAGAGCUCGUAGGCGGUCUGCCGCGUCUGGUGUGAAAAUCCAGGGCUUAACCCUGGACCUGCAUCGGGUACGGGCAGACUAGAGUGCGGUAGGGGAGAUCGGAAUUCCUGGUGUAGCGGUGAAAUGCGCAGAUAUCAGGAGGAACACCGAUGGCGAAGGCAGGUCUCUGGGCAUUAACUGACGCUGAGGAGCGAAAGCAUGGGGAGCGAACAGG
rnacentral:rRNA from 1 species